GACGAACCGUGCAAACGUCGUUCGGAAUCACUGGGCUUAAAGGGCGCGUAGGCGGGCAAGCAAGUCAGGGGUGAAAGCCCACGGCUCAACCGUGGAAGUGCCUUUGAUACUGUUUGUCUGGGGGGAGGUAGGGGCGUGCGGAACUUCCGGUGGAGCGGUGAAAUGCGUAGAUAUCGGAAGGAACACCUGAGGCGAAGGCGGGCUACUGGGCCGAUACUGACGCUGAGGCGCGAAAGCCAGGGGAGCAAACGGG
rnacentral:rRNA from 1 species